UAAGGAAUAUUGGUCAAUGGGCGGAAGCCUGAACCAGCCAUGCCGCGUGCAGGAAGACGGCCCUAUGGGUUGUAAACUGCUUUUGCAGGGGAAUAAACCUCAUUACGUGUAAUGAGCUGAAUGUACUCUGAGAAUAAGGAUCGGCUAACUCCGUGCCAGCAGCCGCGGUAAUACGGAGGAUCCAAGCGUUAUCCGGAUUUAUUGGGUUUAAAGGGUGCGUAGGUGGCUUUUUAAGUCAGGGGUGAAAGACGGUAGCUUAACUAUCGCAGUGCCUUUGAUACUGAAGAGCUUGAAUAAACUAGAGGUAGGCGGAAUGUGACAAGUAGCGGUGAAAUGCAUAGAUAUGUCACAGAACACCAAUUGCGAAGGCAGCUUACUAUGGUUUUAUUGACACUGAGGCACGAAAGCGUGGGGAUCAAACAG
rnacentral:rRNA from 1 species